ACUAAAGUUACUGGCAACGCUUGGUACCGUGACAAGAAGAGGUAGAUUAGCAGAGGAGAGCCCAAUGUAAUAACACGGGAUAAUAGGAGGACCAGCACAGAGCGGACUCACGAAGGACGGUGCGGACACCCGGGUAGGUCGUCGUUACGGUCGGCGACGACGAAUCGCAGGCGGGGCAGCUUCCGCGCGGCCGCCUCGGGCAGCUCCGGCGUGGCCGGGCCCACCCGCACCGACACGGGACUGAAUGGGACGACGCUGAACGACGACGACGGCAGCGCCGGCUCAUGUUGUAGGGUCCGGCAAGGCGUGCGUGUGAUGCAUACGAAGCCGGCGAGACGUUCAUCCGGAGUCACGCAGGGUAUGAUGUCGAGGCGUCGUGCGAGACGACGUGAGUGGCGAGAUACCAACUGUGGCGCGAGGCUGCAGUGCUGCGUGCAAGAUAUGUUGCAGGUCAUCUGCAUCGGAAUUUAAGUAGUUGACAUGACAAGAUUAGGGGAUGAUUGUUAGCUUAAUCUUGUUGGUUGAAAUUAAUGAGGUAUAUGUAUGUAGUAGCUUAGUUGGUAGGUGGUGCGCAGCACAAGGAGAAAAUCAAGUUGGAUUUUGAGAAGUGCUAGUGCAUGCACGUGGAGGUUGGCUCUUGGCUCUACGAUGAUGUGAAAGGGCUAUACAAAGGCUGCAUGUCGGCAGCAACUCUGAAAAAAAGUUGGAUUUUACAACACCUUGUCAAGCAGCUGGCAGCGAGCUGUGAGCUGUAUUUAUUUAUUUUUGUUUCGAGUCGGUUUGUUUUGGUCGGUUUGUGACCCCAUAAAAGAAAGGGGCAUAGACCUUGUAACAAAAGUAAGUAUGAGAUUAGAAGAUCAAUAUAUUAUGUGAUAUACUAGUUGUGUUAUCUCA